rnacentral:SRP_RNA from 1 species
GCUGGGCAUGGUGCCACAUGCCUAUAGUCCCAGCUACUCGGGAGGCUGAGGCAGGAGAAUCGCUUGAACCCAGGAGGCAGAGGUUGCAGUGAGCCAAGAUCGGCACCACUGCAAUCCAGCCUGGGUAACAGAGUGAGACUCUGUCUCAA